AACACUUCUGAUGUUUAACAUAGCUAAAUAUCUGUCACUAAUUCUCACUAAAGAAAUUCAGAAAAGCAAGUCACUCCUUUUUUUUGCCACAAAAUCGAGUCGUCAUUAUAAUCUGUUCAAAAAGAACGAUGAAGACGAAUUAUACAAAGGCAAAAAAACAGAGAAAUCUUAAAGAGAACAAGGAAGAAACUAGAGAAGAAGAAAAGGGACAUAGGAGUAUUCACUUGCACAAAAGCAGGGGUCAACAUAUUCUUACAAAUCCUAGAGUACUUGAUGCUAUUGUAAGUAAAGCUGAUAUCAAACCUACUGAUACAAUUCGUGAAAUUGGACCUGGUACUGGUGAUCUUACUCUACGUCUCCUCGAGGUUGCGAAGAAAGUUAUCGCUGUUGAAAUUGAUAAAAGAAUGAUUGAAAUUCUUAAUAAGCGUGUUUCUGAACAUGGGUUUGAAGAUAAAAUCAAUGUUAUAUCUGGGGAUGCAUUGAAGGCUGAGUUUCCUCAAUUCGAUAUAGUUGUUGCCAAUAUCCCGUACGGGAUAUCUUCGCCACUUAUAGCUAAACUUGUGUUUGGAGAUUACUCAUUUCGAAGUGCAAAACUAUUAAUGCAGAAAGAAUUUGUUCGGAGAUUGUUGGCGAAACCAGGUGAUUCUGAAUUUAAUCGGUUGGCUGUGAAUGUGAAGCUUGUGGCUGAUGCGAAAUUUGUUAUGGAUGUAAGCAAGAGGGAUUUUGUACCUUGCCCUCGAGUGGAUUCAUCUGUUGUGAAAAUCACCCCGAAAGAUGAAGUUCCGGAUGUUAAUAUGAAUGAGUGGUUGGCUUUUACUAGAGCAUGUUUUAGUAAGAAGAAUAAGACUUUGGGUGCUACAUUUAAGCAGAAGAGGAAGGUUGCUGAAUUGCUGAAAAGAUCACAAUUGACGAAUGAACGAGAAGAGACUGUGAUGAUUGCUAGUGACGAGGGCGAUGCCGAUGAAAGGGUGGAGGAAAUAGAUGAAGAGAAAGAGCAAGAGAGUGAUGGGGAAGAAUAUGUAUCUGAUUCUAGUUUGGGAACAGAAAUGAGUGUGUUCAAGGACAAGAUUGCUGAAGUUCUAAAAGUCGGUGGAUUCGAAGAUAAAAGACCUUCAAAGCUGUCAAAUGAGGAGUUGCUGUGCUUGCUUUCUCUCUUCAAUCGUUCUGGUAUACGUUUUCAUGAUAGUAGACAUGGAAAUGUUGAUCCAGGUGUUGUAUUAGAUGAAUCUUUUUAAAGUUAUAGUCCAAAGGCGUGGAUCCAAACAGUUCCAAAGGCCUAUUUGGUAACCCUGAUUUAAUGUUUAUUUAUUUAUUUAUUUUUAAACUCAUUUCUAGGGUUAUUCACAUGAGUAUGACGUUUGGAGAGGAGAAGUUGUCUCCAUGGAGAAGACGCAAACCGAUGGUAGAAAAUAUGAAGAGGAAGACGAUGGAAAGGAAUGACCGGACCUUUGUUUUGUGCUAUCCCAACCUCGUUGCUUUUAGAGAUGUUGGCGAAAUCUUGAUGGAAUUUGAGAAAAUCAGUUUGAACGUAGUAAGGAUGAGAUUAGUAUGCGCCACACCAAAAUUCCUGACGCAAUUCAUCUCCAUACAUUUUCCCCGAUAUUGCUCCAGCAGGUUUUGUCCCUAUCCUUUUGUAGCUUUGGUAUUGGAAGGUAACGACGCUAUUAGUAAAGUUCAUCAGCUUACAUCAGAAACGGAAAGAUUUCCCUUCCGGUCGCCUGCCAUUCGUGCUUACUGCAGUGUUUCGGUUCAUGUGAAUUGUGGUUUUGUGCUGGCUCUGCUGAUGACUGGAUAGAAGAAGCAACAAAAAGCAGUCAUCUGGCGUGCGCACUCCCUGAUGGCAAAACAUUUGGCCCGGUUGAUGCGGUGUUGGAGAAGUUGCGGGAACAGGAUCUCCUUAGGUGCAGAUACUUUGAGAAAGAGGCUUUAUUCAGGAGUUUCUACAACAAUUUUUACCAUGAACAUCUGACAUUCUUCUUAAUCAGGCCUUUGGCUUUCCAAAAGCGGUGUGUGGGUCUACUGCUAUCCAUUAUUGAGAACAUAGAUUUUGGCAUCAUGGGUAUGGGUUUGGUAACAAAAUCCCAAGUCCCUACCAGCGAUGCAUGGCCUGCUGAUUCUUGUUCCUCACCUGAAGUAGAUGGAUAUGGUGUUGCCUUGCUUGUGGAGUGUAUCAACCAUAAGGCAAUACAAAUAAACACGAGUUGUAGAGAUGCUCGUAUAUUGAUUGACAAAGACGAUGGGACGGUUGAAAUUUGCAGCGACUUAGUUUACAGGUGACAGGAGUAUGAUUGGCCAUUAUUUCAAAUUCGGUACUGUUUCCUGGCUGGAUUCCGGUAGUGGUGCUAGCUGUGGCGGGUUUUUCUUGGCAACCUUGUCGAACCUUCAAUUUUAAGGUUGUAUCUAGGCUAGGGAUGCAUUGAAGGCUGAGUUUCCUCAAUUUGAUAUCGUUGUUGCAAAUAUCCUGUACGGGACAUCUUCGCCACUUAUAGCUAAACUUGUGUUUGGAAAUUACUCGUUUCUUAGUGCAGCGCCUGUUAUUGCAGAAAGAAUUUGUGCAGAGGUUGUUAAGGUGACUCUGAAUUCAAUCGAGGACGAUAAUGAUGAAAGGAUAGAGGAAGUAGAUGAAAAGAAAGAGCGAGAGAGUGAUGGGGAAGAAUAUGGCUGAUUCUAGUUUGGGAUCAGAGAUUCAGAAAUGAGAUUGUUCAAGAACAAGAUUGUCGAAGUUCUAAAAGUUGGUGACUAAAAAGACCUUAGAAGCUGUCAAAUGAGGAGUUGGCUGUUGGCGUUGUCAUGAUAGUAUACACGGAAAUCUUGAUCUCCAUGUUGAUUAAGAUGACUCUUUUUUCAUGUUAUGCUAUAACUAGAAUUUCAGUUGUAUUCAAGAGAUUUUGAACGAGGAAUACUGAAUGAUCAACUAGAUUGC